rnacentral:rRNA from 1 species
AGCCUUUAGCAAUAGAUCUCCUGGCUCCCGCAUCGAUGACGAACGCAGCGAAAUGCGAUAU